UCAUAAAAGUGAUGUGUGAUUGUAGGGACCAAAAUGCAAAUAAAAAUGUGAAACUUCAAAUUUGAAGUUUUGAGGAGUGAAACUCUAUAUUUGAAGUUUCACUACUCAAAACUUCAAAUUUGAAGUUUUGAAGUUUUUUUUUGGAGAGCAAAAAACUUCAUAUUUGAAGUUAUAGAGUAUCUUUUGGAGAUGCUCUAAGAGCAUGAUAUAAUAGGAUUCGUAGGGAAAUAUUAGAAACCGUCUCUUAACUUUUAACUAAAAAAAUAAGAACCGGCUUUUAGAUAAGAUGUUUAAGAGUCGGUUCUUAACUUUUUUAUUUAAAAGUUAAAAGAUAGUUUCUUAUAUUCCGUUAAGAACCGACUCUUAAACAUCUUAUCUAAAAGCCUUUUUAUUUUAAAGUUAAAAGAUAGUUUCUAAUCCCACUCUAUUUUUUCCUCUAAAAUAGAGUUUAGAAUAAAAAUAUUCCAAUUGUACUAUUUUUCUACUCUAUAAUAGUGUAAACCUAUUUUUUUUUCUAUAUAUAGAGUAAUUUUUCUUUUGUUCAUCAUUCUAUUUUUCAUUUUAAAAUAGAGUACCAUUGAAACAAUAUUCAACUCUAUUAUAGAGAAAAAAAUAGAGUAAACCACUGGAAAUGAUCUAAAAAACUUAAAAACUCCCAAAGAUCAAAAUAAAAAGGCUUCUUCUUAAUUUAGCCCACCAAAAGCAAAAUGAGCCACUAAUUUAUCUCCUCUCACUCCGGCUUAGCAACAGCCAACAGUUACAUGAGAUACGAAACAGUCUUAGACUUGUUUCUCGUUAGUUUUAUUUAUCUUAAGACUAUACUUGAUCCGAGUUCGUAGGACACUAGUAGCCACUAAGGAAGUUAUCUUUUUCUUCCAAAUUGGACUUCUUGAGUUCUUGUGUAAUCAACAAACGAAGAGGCUUCGAUAAAGAAGAUAGAAAACGCGUUUGACAACAGAGUUGAUGCUGAAAGAACUCUCCGGGAGAUCAAGCUUCUUUGCCACAUGAUAUUAAAAUGAAACAUAAAUGGAGCCACCAGAGAAUGAGGUUCGAAGAUGUGUAUAUUGUUCAGCAGCUGAAACUUAGCACUGAGGUAAACACAUGUUACAAGCAAUUCUCUGUUUGUGUGUAUUGUUAGCUCUAAGUUUCACUAGAUGACUGAUCUUGACUUCUUGAGAAGCAAUAAUUCUCGGAAGUACGUAAAGCAACUCCCACGUUCAAACAAACACUCAUUUAGAGAAACGCAUAUCACAGAUGCUGCCCGUAUUUUUGUUUGCCUUGGGAUGGUAUAAAUAUGAAAUACUAAAAAAAAUGUUUUUAUUGACUUGGAAGUAGAGGAAGCGUUGAAGCAGCCCUACUUGGCCAGUCAUCUCUAUGUGAUUAACGAGAACCAACUUGUCCUUCUACUUUCAGCUUCGACUUUGAGGACACAACCUUGGAUGAACAAGAGAUCAAGGAUAUCUUAUCUUGAGAGAGUCUUUACACUUCCAGGAUAAGUGGUCUCCCACAAUAUAAGACGCUUGACCGCCAAACCAUGUGCUAUUCGAAGCUGUGAGAAAUAGGUGAAAAUGGUUAGUAGUAUUCUAGUGUGUGUUUUGUAUUGUCAGUGAAUUAUGCAGUCCGAAGAAAGUGACAAGCUUUUGCGUGUUGUAUACGUAUAUAAUAACUCGACAAACACAAAUUUUCUGACUAUUCCAUUUUCCUCAUAGAAAGUAGAAACCAUGGGAAACCGUCAUCUUUUCCAGAGCUUGCGUUUGGAUUUUAUUUUAAGUUAUAUAUAAAAACAUUUAUGAUAUAUCAUAAAAAAAUCAAAACGAUGAUACAUUUCGAGAAUUUAGAUUUUUUUUUUGUUCUAAAGUGUGAAAUGGCAUUCGAACAUAUAUCUAUGUAAGACGUUUUCUCGCAUGAGCUAGCGUAUAAUAUAUCUACAAAUAAUUUCUUACCGACCAAACCAUCCAAGAUCAAGCUAAUUUGGCUAUAAUCAGCCUAAAAUAUCUACUUUCACCAAAUUCCAAAAAAACAUAUCCCAACUCAAUAAGAAAAUUCAUGUGACAGUGUGUAUACCCACCUCAUAGGUGAACUUUUGAAAUAUAAUCUACAACCUAGUGUUUUAAUUAACAGAGCUAGUGUGUUGUCAAAAAAAAAAAACAGAUCUAGUGUUGUGACGACUUGUCUACAGUUUAUGAAACUUUAACUGCACGAUUUGUACUACAAUUCCUUCCUACAAAUAUUUGGCCCAAAAACAAAAGCUGCAUAGCUGGUUUAUCAAACUUUCGUAUUCGGUCAUGCAACUAGCCGAUUUUUUAAUAUAUGCUACGUUAAACUAUGCCGGAAAGUAAUAUUCUAGCUGUGCAUACUAUUUGGUGAUUUUGUAUACAAUAUACAAAUCGAAAUUGGACCAAGCAAGUCAACAUCUUCAUAUGUAUACAUAUUUUUGGUGUGUCAAUAAACGUGAAAACAUAUCUAAACGAAACCCUAUUACUACAAAAAGCCAAACACGUCUUAGUUAUAUGAAUGCUGGCUCCAAAUAAUUAAUAAGCAUUAUCUCUGUAUAACCAUACUUUUUUAUAGAUUACAUGUUCCUUUCUUAAUUAAAUAACUUGAGCUGCCAAUCUAACUUCUAAUUUAAACUUAUCUUCUUUAAUGUUUCAAACAAAUGUAGAAAGCAACUAGACCGAAUUAACUUGCUAAUUUAAACUUAUCUUCACUCAAACGUUGAUUGAAAAUCUGAGAUAUUUACACAAUUCAAUUCAAAUUCAAAAAUGACUAGAAUUUUAAAUGCUGGACCAAUACAAUUACGGUUAGGAAGACUGAUUAAACUAAGACUUAUUCUUGGGUUCACUCCCUAGGGUGAACCUCUAGGUUCACCAACCAAUAGGAUUGUUUUAUUUUAUAUUCGAAAUCUUUUAAAAAAGGAAACAAAAUAUUUUCUCAAGUUAUAAGUUAUAUUAUAUUUUUAAAAUAAAAAGGUUAAAAUAAAUAAAUUUAAAAAGUAGUAAUUAAAAAAAAAAAAUUUUUAACAUU